rnacentral:rRNA from 1 species
AUACGGAGGGUGCAAGCGUUGUUCGGAAUCACUGGGCGUAAAGGGCGCGCAGGCGGUUUGGUAAGUCAGAUGUGAAAGCCCACGGCUCAACCGUGGAAGUGCAUUUGAAACUGUCAGACUUGAGUACCAGAGGGGAAAGUGGAAUUCCCGGUGUAGAGGUGAAAUUCGUAGAUAUCGGGAGGAAUACCGGUGGCGAAGGCGACUUUCUGGCUGGAUACUGACGCUGAGGCGCGAAAGCGUGGGGAGCAAACAGGAUUAGAAACCCCAGUAGUCC